AAAACAUAGCUUUAUGUAUUAAUAUAAAGUGGACGCCUGCCCGGUGAUAAUUUUAACGGCCGCAGUACUUUGACUGUGCUAAGGUAGCAUAAUCAUUUGGCUUUUAAAUGGGGUCUUGUAUGAAGGAGGAAUGGGGAGUUACUGUCUCUAUAAAAAUUAAUAAAAGUUACUUAAAAGGUGAAAAUACCUUUAAAAAUAAAUUAGACGAGAAGACCCUAGGAGUUUAAUAUAUAUUUUGUUGGGGCGACACAACAACAAUUAACUUGUUGAUUUAUAUUUAUAUAUCGGAUAUUUCAUAAAAAUAUAAGCUACCCUAGGGAUAACAGCAUAAUUUAUUAAAGUUUGUGACCUCGAUGUUGGACUAGGGUAAUUUUAUUGUUAGAAAUAAUAAAAGGAAGUUCUGUUCGAACUUAAUUCCCUACGUGAUCU
rnacentral:rRNA from 1 species